GUCCACGCCGUAAACGAUGGAUACUAGCUGUUCGGAGCAAUCUGAGUGGCUAAGCGAAAGUGAUAAGUAUCCCACCUGGGGAGUACGCACGCAAGUGUGAAACUCAAAGGAAUUGACGGGGGCCCGCACAAGCGGUGGAGCAUGUGGUUUAAUUCGAUGAUACGCGAGGAACCUUACCAGGGCUUAAAUGUAAAUUGACAGGACUGGAAACAGUUUUUUCUCGGACAAUUUACAAGGUGCUGCAUGGUUGUCGU
rnacentral:rRNA from 1 species